rnacentral:rRNA from 1 species
GAUGAACGCUGGCGGCGUGCCUAAUACAUGCCAGUCGAGCGAACAGACGAGGAGCUUGCUCCUCUGACGUUAGCGGCGGACGGGUGAGUAACACGUGGAUAACCUACCUAUAAGACUGGGAUAACUUCGGGAAACCGGAGCUAAUACCGGAUAAUAUAUUGAACCGCAUGGUUCAAUAGUGAAAGACGGUUUUGCUGUCACUUAUAGCUGGAUCCGCGCCGCAUUAGCUAGUUGGUAAGGUAACGGCUUACCAAGGCAACGAUGCGUAGCCGACCUGAGAGGGGGGUCGGCCACACUGGAACUGGGACCCGGUCCAGACUCCUACGGGAGGCAGCAGUAGGGAAUCUUCCGCAAUGGGCGAAAGCUUGACGGAGCAACGCCGCGUGAGUGAUGAAGGUCUUCGGAUCGUAAAACUCUGUUAUUAGGGAAGAACAAAUGUGUAAGUAACUAUGCACGUCUUGACGGUACCUAAUCAGAAAGCCACGGCUAACUACGUG